rnacentral:rRNA from 1 species
GACGAACGCUGGCGGCGUGCUUAACACAUGCAAGUCGAACGAUGAAGCCCAGCUUGCUGGGUGGAUUAGUGGCGAACGGGUGAGUAACACGUGAGCAACGUGCCCGAGACUCUGGAAUAACUACCGGAAACGGUGGCUAAUACUGAAUAUGUGCCAGGGAGGCAUCUCCUCUGGUUGGAAAGAUUUUUCGGUUUCGGAUCGGCUCACGGCCUAUCAGCUUGUUGGUGGGGUAAUGGCCUACCAAGGCGACGCCGGGUAGCCGGCCUGAGAGGGUGACCGGCCACACUGGGACUGAGACACGGCCCAGACUCCUACGGGAGGCAGCAGUGGGGAAUAUUGCACAAUGGGCGCAAGCCUGAUACAGCAACGCCGCGUGAGGGAUGACGGCCUUCGGGUUGUAAACCUCUUUUAGUAGGGAAGAAGCGAAAGUGACGGUACCUGCAGAAAAAGCACCGGCUAACUACGUG